UAGACAGCUGUGGGCUGCUGUGUGGGUGGAGUCAUAGACGGCUGUGGGCUGCUGUGUGGGCCUUAGGAAUCAAACCAGGAUCCUCUGGAAGAGCAGGGAGUGCUCUUCACUGCUGAGUCAUCUCUCCAGCCUCGAGGACCAGGUACAGACAACCAGCGACCAAUCCUGUUUGUACCAGAGCCACUUGAUGCCAGCCCUCCCUCCUGGACCACCCCUUCCUCUGUAAAUGUCUGCCUCCACCUCUCCUCGCCCUCUCCGCCCUGACUGACCUGGAUGUCUCUUCAAAGGACAAGGCCCACUUCUCUGCGUGGGCUCUGUGGGACGACACACUGGCUUCUCUGAGAUAUCGUCUCUUAGAUGGUAGCUAACACAAUGACAGUGGACACACGUGAGAACCCAGCAGCAUGAGAGUCGGGCUGGCUGCUGGGAAGGGCCCUGGACUUGGGAUGCUUAAGAGACAAGAUGGACAGAUCUGGUGGGGAGUUGGUGAUUGGAUAGUAUGUGAGGUUGGGGGUGGGGUGGGCUUGCCACCCAAGGGAGCUGGGGCUUCUGAGGGGAAUUAGGUUCAUAGAGGGCAAGUUUCUGACCUUUACCAGAAACUUCGUGGGAACCGGGCCCUUUCUGCCACUGUUGCGAGCAGGAACCCCAGAUUCUAGGCUCUUGAUUCAGAGUCUGAAACGUGUAGUCUUCUCCUUCCCUGGACCCCCUUUUCCCCUCCCUCCCUCCCUCCCUUCCUUCCUCCUUCCCUCCCUCUUUCCUCCCUUCCCUCCUCCCCCUUUUCUCUGAAUCGUGACCCCAUAUAACUGGCUGGCCUUUAACUGGCUGUGUAGCUGACAAUAACCCUGAACUUCUGAUCUGCCUGCUUCCAUCCCCCAAGCGCCGGGAUUACAGGCCUGCACCGCCUCAUAUGGUUUAUAUAAGGCUGGGAAUCGAACCCAGGGAUUCACGCAUGCUAGACAAGUGCUUCACCAGCUGGGUUAACAUCC
rnacentral:lncRNA from 1 species